CAUUGGUUAGCAACUGCACAGCUGUUUUGAUGCCCAGUGCCCCCAGUCACCGUUGGUCAUCGUCGCAGCGAACACGCAGGCAGGGAGCUCCGGGUCUACACAGCUGUCAUUUUUAACAUGCUUGAUAAAACCCGGGAAUAGGGAAGUCCCCUCCUGUUCCCUUAUUAAGAGGUGAUGAGUACUCGACUCCACUACAAUUGUCAACUUUCUACUGACAAACUGAAGUCACAUCUCAUGUGCCUGCUCAUCCACUGGCACAUUGAAUGUUUCCCCUCCAAGCACUGAUUUUUUGUCUUUACCAGUCAAAUCCUGUACUGCACUGGUCAAGCCUCUGAACACCUCAACUCAUGCCUCAUUCAAUCACUGCUGUGAUCCCUUUCCAACAUGGUUCACCAGCCUCCACUGCUUUCAACAUACAGUAUGCCCGGACAUCUCCCGCUUUCACCCGAAGCAAGCCACUGAAACGGACUCAUGCUAUAACAGAGCUGUACUGCCGGUUCCCAGUUAUUAUGUAAGCUAACGAAACUUUAGUUUGCAUGGCCUUUCCAUAUUAAAAAAGGAUGAAUCCAUUCUGUAAUGUGUCUGCGUUGCAGCAUUGCCCCUCUAUUCCCUACGCACACAUAAUCCACUGUCAAUAUUUAUAGAAAUAAAAUAUGACAAAUUGAAUUGGUCAAACUGAUAAACAUGCAGUUAUUAAUUUGAUGUUUAAUUUAAUUGAAGACAUCAGUGUGUGCAUAUAGGAACUUUACAUGUUAUAGCCCAGAGUGCCCCUUAUGGAAAAACAACAUGAUUUCACAUGUGGAAAAUCAAAUGUUUUCAUUUCCAGAAGAUUUCACAUAACAUUUCCUCUUGUUUUGCACAUGUCAAUCUAUGUGUUUUUGGAACACUUCAAUUGUGAUAAUGUGGAUUUUUACAUGUGAAAAUAUAAGGUUUCACAUUUGGAUUCAAAUUUUCACAAUAUUUCAUAGGCGAUGCCCUGCAGACAAAAGUUAAUCAUUAGAAUACACAGGGUUUUCAGCUGACAUAUUUGACAUACUUUGACUACAUUGUGCAUGGCUAUUUGUUCAGUAAUUAUUAUUUAACAUGUCCUUUCCUGGGAGUUGAACUCACAUCCUCUGCAUUUACAGCAUUCCAAUCUUCCUGCUAUGACACCAUGCCUGUAUCAGCAACUGAUUUUAUCUGUAUUAAUACACUUUAUUCUUCAAAGUAAAUCUCAGCUUUGUUAAAAAAAAAUACACUCAAGAAAAACAAUUAUAUUCAUCACAGUGGCUUAGGACUAAUGUGAAAACAGAAUAAUAUGCCCACCAACAUUAGACAACUAUACAGAAAACCCUCAAAUUGCUGAAAUAAGUAUAUGAAAUCAAUGAUGAGAGAAUAGUCCGAAUAGCCCAUUACAUAAAUGACAGUUCAAAUCAAAACAAAUCACAUUUAAUUUGUCACAUGUCUGAAUACAUGCUUACUGUCACGUGUGCUCCAUCGCUGGCCUCUCGUCAUCAGGCUGCUCGUUAUGGUGCACACCAUCGUUAUGUGCACCUGCACGUCAUCAGACUCACCUGGACUCCAUCACAUCCCUGAUUACCUUCCCUAUAUAUGUCACUCCCUUUGGAGUGACAUAUAUAUUCCCCAGGCAUUAUUGUUUCUGUUCCAGUGUUAAGUCUGUGCGUUGUUCAUGUUUCUUGUUUUGUUUUAUGUUGCGUUUAUUUAUUGAAACACUCCCUGAACUUGCUUCCCAACUCUCAGCGCACAUCGUUCCACUUACUAACAAGCCCUUAACCAACAAUGCAGUUUUAAGAAAAAAAUACAUGUUAAGAAAGUAUUUAGUAAAUAAACUUAAGUAAACAAUAAGAAAUAGAAAAAUAGACCUUCCUUUUGCUAAAUGCAGAGAUGUAAUUACAGUAGGUAAUGAAUGUUUAGGGAAAAUCUACAGACUUCGUGGCACAGCAGAAAGAUGUCAAAUCCAGGUUGUAAAUUCAAAUCCCAGGCCGGGUCCUAUUUUAGCUGAACAGCAAUAACACGUGGAAUUGCACAGUUGAAAACGUGAUCACAUGUUUUCACCUGUGAAAUGUCACGUGGUGUUCCAAAAACGUUUUCCCUUGAUUUCACAUGUGGACAAUCACAUGAAUUCACACGUGAAACGUCACGUUUCAUGUGUAAAUGUAUGUGAUGGUCCACAUGUGAAAUCAUCUAGUUCAACAUGUGAUGAACUACACUGUUAGCCAUUUCUGUUAAUUUUGUGGUACAUUUUACAUUCAUUGUACAGUACAUGUCUACAUUAAUGGGAUACUGUGUACUAGUGUUUUGCUAUAUAUUUACUUUCAAUCGCAAUGGACUUGCGUUAUGUUUGGCCCAUCCUGCAAAUUAACUUGGCAUACCUCACUUGCAAUUGCAUUUAAACUAAUAGGAUACUUUAGAUGUGCUUAUGGCACAAACUGAACUGUAUGUUGUCUGUAAAUAUACAACAGAAAUUAAAAUUCUAAUUAAAUUAUUAUACCGGUAAAAUACAAUUGGGUUCACUUUCUGAACUGACUGGAACUUAAAUGGAAUUGACCUCAACAUUGGUUAGCACACUUGGGAUGCAACCCCCCCCC